UACGGAGGGGGCUAGCGUUGUUCGGAAUUACUGGGCGUAAAGCGCACGUAGGCGGCUUUGUAAGUUAGAGGUGAAAGCCCGGAGCUCAACUUCGGAAUUGCCUUUAAGACUGCAUCGCUUGAAUCAUGGAGAGGUCAGUGGAAUUCCGAGUGUAGAGGCGAAACUCGUAGAUAUUCGGAAGAACACCAGUGGCGAAGGCGACUGACUGGACAUGUAUUGACGCUGAGGUGCGAAAGCGUGGGGAGCAAAC
rnacentral:rRNA from 1 species